rnacentral:lncRNA from 1 species
CUGGAAACGAAAGUCUGGAGAACUUUGGAUCUGAUCGUUUCACAGUGAGGGCAUUUGGCCUCAAACACCUUUCCCAGCGCUGGUCUCCUGGAAGCUACUCCAGUCAGCUCUGUCAAAACUAAACCAGUAAAGUGUGGUAAAUAGCAGGAAAGAGGGUUAUAUGGGAGGAUUUACGGCUGGCUGCAGGACUGCCAGUGACUCACUGACCAGACAUCAGCUGCAUUGGCACAACCGGUCUAGGCUUCAUUAUGCACUAUGGGCCAACUCGUUUCUUUUGCCCUUGGCUGACAUUUUAGGAAGAUGAGGACUCUGGGAUCGGUUUCUUUACCACUCUGAUUGCUUGCCAUACAACGAACUUGAAAAUGAUAGAUGGGUCUCCAUUUUCUUGAGUUGACAGCAUCCUUUAUAAGCACAUGCAUGCCACAAGCAUUUCUGCACUUCAGGCAGAAAUUUUGUCCAAGGGGCAUUUGAAGACUGUUCACAGAAUCAGAUGGUAUACAAGAUUUUUCCAGAAGUCAAGACAGAGCAGAAGCAGAUCAGUCUGGAAGUGCUGGCUUCAUAGCACUCCACACUGCUCCACAGAAGUGUGGAGAUCAAGAGGGCAGACCAUAAGCAUUAAGGAAUGGGCCAUCCAGGUGACCUCUUGCAAAUGUACAGACUGGGUGUGGAGCACAUGUGUGUGUAUCACAGAGAUCAGCUGUUGCCAGGCCCUGCUGGGUCCCAGUCCUUACCUGUACUCCCCUUGCCAAGCAGACAAAGCAUUGGAUUCUCAUCUCAGCAGGAACUGAUCCCCUCUUUCUAAUGCAAAGCACAGGCAAAACCCACUGGAGAUACAACCUUAUGUGUCUGAAUUCACAGAGCCCAGAGCAUAAGAUGUGGAAGGCUGUUCAGUGCCUUUCUUAGCCUGAGAUGACUCAGACCUCUAUUUCCCACCUCCCAGAAAGGUUUCCUAACAGUAAAACCAGCAAUGAGGAGCCUCUGUUUCCUGACGCAGCAGCCAUGCUGUAGCUUUAUCAAAACAAGCCCACAUCUGUUUCCAUGAAAGCAACCACUAUGAUGAGACUGUUCAGCACAGCUUGACAAGGUGCCUGGAUUUUAAGAUUUAGUUUUACAAAUGCCUUCUCCAGAUUUUGCUGCUUUUCUGGGACCUGGGGACUUACACAGUCUCCUAGGUCACUGAGGUCCCUGGAUAUCACCAGGCAUCCGGUUCUCUGCUCCAGAUUCUGUGGCUGCUUGCGUGCAUGUGUCAGUCUCAUAUGUCUGCAUAACUUGCCCUGUUCUGGAGAGCAAGAUGGGGUCUGGUAUUGAAUAUGCAUCAGGGACACAUGGAUCUGAGCCCAUGGCAACCUUCACAGGACUCCUGUGGUGCAGACAGAGAGGCUGUCAGACUGACACAGCCGAGUGCCUUGUGUAUUAUCAUCUGUCUCUUCUAGCCUCCAGCUGCCUCUGUUACCGAUGGUGUUGCCCACUGGGGCUCAGAUUUGUGACUUCCCCUGCCCCACCCUAGCUCAGACUUCAGAACUGUAUUUUUACAGCCAGUUUAGUAAAACUGCAUUAAAAAGUACCGUUGCACCUCACACUUUCACCAUUCCUUUAUGUCUGCAAUAGUUUAAUCAGGGUCAUAGCAUUUUUUAAAUUACUUGCAGCAAAUGUGGUAAGUGCUUAAACAAUAGACUCCAUCCGCUCCAGAGAAGCUGUUUUAUUCUACUAAGUUAAUUAUCAGUGGUUUGAAACGUCCCUAAAUAAGUAGUUGUCUGACAGAUCAUCAUAAUGGCUCCUUCUGUUGCUCUAUGCCAACUCAUAUAUUGAUGCAAAAUAAUUUGUCUUAUUCUUUUGUUUAGAAUUUGUGAAACAAUCCUGUUGACAGAAAACAGAAAAAAAAAAAAAAAAAAAAUGUGAAAAUGUGUUUAUAGUAAUAAUGGAGUAACAGAACAAAAGCGAUUCUAGGAAAAAAUAAACUUUCUACUCUAAACA